rnacentral:rRNA from 1 species
UGGCUCAGUGAGGCUUCCGGACUGGCCCAGAGAGGUCGGCAACGACCACUCAGGGCCGGAAAGCUAUCCAAACUCGGUCAUUUAGAGGAAGUAAAAGUCGUAACAAGGU